GCAGGGGCCAUGAUCAUGAAAGUGGUUUUCCCAGGGUGAGGCUCAUCCAUUGCACUUCAGGUGUGCUGAUCCCUGUGAUUUCCCCAAAUGUGGGAAAAUCAAUUGCAUAAUUUGUGGUAGUGGGGGACUGCGUUUGUGAUUUCCCCU
rnacentral:snRNA from 1 species